rnacentral:pre_miRNA from 1 species
AUACAAAUCACCUGGGGAUCUCAUCUUGUUGAAAUGCCAAUUCAAAUUCAGUAGGUCUGGGGCAGGGCCUAAGAAUUUGCAUUUCUAGCUAAUUCCCAGGUGAUGCUAAG